CGUGAUGAAGGAGGUGACCUUCCAGGCCGAGCCUGGCGCACUAAAGUCACUAGUAGAGCCAAAGCCCACCCUAUUUGGGACUGGGAGGAGGAGGGCCAGAAGAGAGAAACCUUCCCACUUCCAGAAGGAAGCCAGUUGUUCUUCUCUGUUUUCAAGAUAUUGGCCUUUCUACUAAGUUCCUGUUUCCUGUGUGACAGAUACCACCAGCUGUCAGCUAAUUUGUAGAACACAGAUGAUUGACAGGACAGCAGCCCAGUGACUGAUGAGGUCUUUCCUGGCUCAGUUGCCUGCUUCCACAGGUUCUCUCUGAUAACUCAAGUGCCCUCCCCACCCCCACCCCUUAAUGAUCUUCCAGAACUCAAUCACUGAAGUUUAUAGUAGAAAAACAAAUUACACAGAGAGUAAUAAUAACAGAUAACUUCCAUGUACAUAAUGAAGAGGUCUUCCUAAAGAGAUGGUAAAUGUAGUUGAGAUAAAAUGACUUUAGGAGAAAUCAAUGAGUAGGACCUUCCAAUAGCUGCAAUCAGAGACAGUCAAUCAAUAAGCAUUUAUUAAAUGCCUACUAUGUGUCAAGCAUUGUGCUAUGGGCAUUUUAAAAAGAGACAAAAGACAACCCAUGCCCUCAAGGAGCUUACCGUCUAAUGGGGGAUACAACAUGCAAACAAAUGUAUUCAAAUCAAGUUAUAUGCAGGAUAAAUAGGAGAUAAUUAACAGAGGAAAGACACUGGAAUUAAGAGGGGUUGGGGAGGACUUUCAGUAAAAGAAGGGAUUUUAGUUAGGACUUAAAGGAAGCUAGGAAGAUCAGUAGGUGGAGCAGAGAUGGGAGAGUAUUUGUGGCAUGAGGGACAGCCAGAGAGAUAGAGUGUCUAGUUUCUGAAACCAUCAAGGGGUCAAUGUCACUUCCUAAAAUACAAGGGAUAUAAUUGCAAAGUCCUGCAAAGUCAAUUUAGUAUAGCAGUAUCUCCAUGGAGGGCUUUCCAUUGGAAUAUAAAUGUUCUUGACUGCUGGUAUUAUUUGUCUUAUUAUUAUUAUUAUUAUUUGUCUUUGGACCUUCAGCACAAUGUUGGGCACAUAGUAG
rnacentral:lncRNA from 1 species